AGCAGCAACCUGCUACAGGGCUGCUUUUACUUAUAUUUAGUUACAUUAACUGAGCAGAUAAAUGUACAGUUGCAUUCUGGGCAAUACAGGGAGGGAGGAGCUGUCAACGCCUGUACAGCAGGGAAGGAACAUCAGGAAGGUCAUAACGGGUCUAACAUGUCUCCUGAGUCCUAAUUUUCAGCAAGGAUUUUACUUCCUGGGAUGCUUGUAUAAGCAUAAUUCUUUGAGGUUUAAGACCAAGAAAUAAGAUGCAGCAUUGCCAUUUUUUAAUGGAAUAUUCUCUCACUGCAGUAAGACAUCCUUUAUUGCCUUGCUAAAAUUCUUAGUGUGGAACUUCCAGUACAACAUGGGAAUUCAUAAAGCCGAAAAAAUGUGGUUGUACAACGACUCUCAUGGAGUGCCGAGAUGCUCCAGCCUCAUACCUGGCAGUGAACAAACCUGUAAUAAAGGCCUGAAGAUCUUUUGCCUGCUCUCAAAUUAUGUGAAGUGAAUAGCUCCAACAGCUGGAAGAGGAACAAUGCAUAGUGGGUUUGGCAGGCUGAAGCUGGGGUGUUGAACCAGCGAUGCUGUUGCAGCUGCAGAGUUUGUUCUGCACAGCAGGACUGUACCAUGAGCUGUGAUGGAGGAAAGGUGGAUUCAGAGAGGAGCCAGACCAGUAACAGCAGGGGUGGGUAGUCUAACCAGCAGUGUGCUCAAUCUGUGGUGAAUCAGUGCUGCAGAAAGCAGCAGAUCUUCAUUUACAAGAGCAGAAGAAGUUGUUCAAGGACUCUUAGAGGUAUUAAUUGGAUUGGACUUCUGGCCUGUGUUGCUAGACCCUGGGAACAAGUCCUUGCUUUGCCAGCAAGGGAUGUAUACCCAAUACCCACAGGGGUCUCCUCCACUUGCAGUUAUUUGGUUUAGGUUGAGACUUUGACUUAUGUACUGCUUUGGUUGUUGAAAGGUGCUUUCUAUCAUUUAAAGCAGAACAGAAAGUUUCUAGUAACUUACGAAAUGCUUAAAAAAUAAAAUAUUGAUUUUGCACAGAUUAAUAGAAAGGAAAUUGUUCGUGAUUCUUCCAUAACUAAAAUAGUCAGAGUACAGAAGCAUUCUUUUUUCAACAUGUUCUUCUGUGAUAAACCUCAUGUUUUAUUGAAGUUUUGUUUGAACAAUGUCUUCUGUAAAUCUGAGAGAUUUGGGACUGAUUGGAUUGCAAAGGGUGCUUUGCAAGGCAUAACUUGGCCUCAACUCUUCUUAUAAGUCAAGUAUUUUUCUGAAAUAGAAAAAGGUUUGUGGAUUUUUGUGGAAAUGCAAGUGGAGUGUAUAAGAAAGAAACCAUGUGGCUUUGGUUACCCUAACUUCAGCAAAUGCUAUCUUAGUAAUUAUUAUCCUGACAGCACAUGUGAGAUUCAUGGUAAUCAAAUCAUGUGUUAACCCAUCAUCAUGUAGUUCUGCUGCAUAAUUUUGCAAUCCAUAACCUAAACAGACAAUCUUUCUUGGCAGUCAGACCCAUCUUAGAUGUUUCCAUAAUUUCUGCUGGCUGAACUAAUUAAAAAAAUGAUGAUCUGACAACUGGCGUAAUUAAGAUAAAAUGUCGCAAGUGCAACUCUCAAAACCCAGUUCUAGCAGACUAUAUACCUUUUAUCACUUACACAUUGGUGAGAUCUUGUAACAUCUACUUGAUGAUAAAGCUCCUUUUUCCCGGAAACCUCCACUUUUCCUUACACACAAGCUGUGUGUAAGGAUGUGCCAAGCCGAGGUGUCCACCUGUGUCUGCUGGCCAGCCUGAUUCAGUCUCCUGAUUCAGGUCUCCUAACAAAGGGCCUGCAACCUGCCAGGAGGUCCAGCUGGACACCUACAUAGCAGCACCAGGGACCUGAGUUGUGUGCUUACCCUUCACCCCUGGCUGCAGGGUUUGCAGUAUCAGAAGGGGAGGAGCUGUAGGAUUUCCUCCUGGGAAAUCAGUAGGAGAACUGACUGAAUAAGGACUGUGGCAACUUUGUUGUAGAUAUGCACCAGUUGCCAGGUAAGUGACAUGUUGUCAGGUAAGCUGACCAUGCUGUCACUGUUUCUCAUUCAGUGUUACACAACUAUACAUAUUGGUGUACAUAUUGGUAUACAUUUAAUCUGCUUUUUGUAAAUUGCUUCUUUUCAAAGGGAGAAAUAUUCAAUAACCUAAAGAACAAGAAUACCAUAACACUUUUUCUUAUGUCAUACUGGAUUCUUUAUUGGAAGGGCAAACUUUCUUAGACAAGGACAAUUUUCACACCCUACACUGCUUAAGAACAAAUGUUCCUGCCUAAAAUUUGGUUCUGCAUUGGAUGUCUUACCCCAGAAGGGUUCUAAUUUCUUUAGGAUUAGCAGGAUUAAGAAACUAAUGCUGGAGCAAACACGUAAACCCUGGAGUGGGAAUGAAAGUUCAGGUACGUUGUUAUUCUCAGUGAUUACAGUGCAGAAUUUUCAGGCAGCUCCCAGUUCAGCACAAGAUAUUGUGGAAUUGUUUAUCUGAGGCAGUGAACCUACAUUUGAAAAGGGGUGGACAUGCAAACCACAGUUCCAGAACUUGUAUUUUGAAUAUUAGUUUAUUCCCUGAGUAGCUCUUUCUUCAAGACAAAUAGUGAUACAAAAUGAUUCUUACAUUUGAUAUGGAGACUAAUGUGGGAAAUACCAAAUCGUUCAGGGUCAAACAGCAGUAUGGGUAUAGGUCACAGCGUAAUGUUCCCACGCAACUCCCCAGGAUGGGUGGGCAAAUGAGACUGCACAGAGCAAAGCUGGGACUGGCACCUGGGCUUCCUUCCAUGGCUCUCAAUACUACCACCCAGCACAGCCUAGCCCAGCUGCUCUCUGGGAAAUGAACACUGCAAACUGCCUAACUUUAAUCCAUUUCCCAAGCUGUGGGGAGGAGGCUGUGAAGAGUGACAGGACAGUGUCCUUUCCUGCCAAAGCCCAAGUCUUCUGGAAAAAUAUUUAUUAACCACUUAGACAAUUUUGUAAGAGCAAAUGAUGAAAACAAAUGCUUUAUUUAAUGAGUUCUGUAAACAUUAUAAAUCCUGUUCUUAGGUCAGUGUUAUUUAGCUAAUUCUGUUACAAGUGGUGCUGAAAUUUUUUUUUCCUCAUAGCAUUAAUGCAUCUCACCUUACUCAUUUUACAUAUUAAAUGAAUUCAUUAGCAGAACAGAGAUUUGAGCCAGCUGGCUUGUAUUCAAGCUGGAUUACCUCACAGGGACAUGCAAUUCAUCAGAUGGGCUAAAGUAAACACCUCGUUGGAUCAUAGUCUUCCUACAGCCCAGCCCAUUUUAAAUCCUGUAUGAUACCACUGAAAUCACUAAGAAGAUUACAUGCUUACCAUUGUAACGUGGGGAAAUGUGUCGGGAACAAAAGGUCUGCAUCCAGCAGGCAGCCGCUCUUGCCUCAGCCAGCCAUGCUGGUGGGGGCAGGCAGGCAUCCCUGCUUCUGCCCAGGCACUGGGCCCCAUGUCCUUCACUCAUUGAGAGCAGUCCUUGCCUAAAGGUAAGGUAAAUUUUAAAUAGGAAUGGGAUAUUCCUAUUUCAGUUUUAUGGACAUAUGUUUCAUUAUUUUGAAAUGCCUUAAGGGGUGAAUCUAUUUCCUGUUCUUCCGUUGACACAAGCCAAAUCUCGAAUGUGUGCGUGACAAAAUGCCAACCCCACUGGCAAAUGGAAACACGUCAACAUUGUAUUAGCGAAGAGUAUUAUCAUCCUGGGUAUUAGUCUUGCCAAACCUGGGUGUUCAGGUAUCUCUGCUUUUCCCUGCGAGCCCUCUGAGGUCAGCAGAGCCCCUCGCAAGGCUCCAUCCUGCUUCACUGGGGAAAGCCCUGUCCUAGCCCUCCCGCUGUACCAACCACUGUGAGCAAAUUCAUGUGAAUCUUUAGCCUAAUUUGCUAAAUUGUCCAUAGAUAAUUCCUACCAGCUGCACAUUGCUCAGCACCACACCUCAGUAUCCAUGGAGCUGCUGUCUGCUGUGGCGUGGAGAGGGUUCGAAAGCCUCUGCACCAUGUGGGGCUCUAACGGCCAUGGCGGGGAUUUGUUCCUUUGUUUCUGGAUGGGAAAUAGAUGUGCUGCAGCCCAACUGGGACUGUUCAGAGGCAGCUCUGAUUCUGAUUUUCCUGCCUAAGGGCCGGCCAAAGCAGCAGCUUCUUUGUGCGGCAGAAACAUAAAUUAUGUGUUUCAUGUUUCAGCCACCCUGAAUAUUUGAAAUACCAUACUGAGAUUUACUAGGAAAAGACAUUUCUUACACGCAUAUUAAAAUAAUUGUAAGAAUUAAUCUUCCCCUCACCUCCAUCUAAUUGCAGAGAAAUACAGUUUGGGGUGAUCUAGAGCAAUGAGAAGAAAGUAGAAGAUCUGCUCAUUGGAGAGACUUAAUGGAAUAACCUUACUCUGAAAUGUGCAAUUGCAACAAAAUGGUUUAUAAAGGGAAUAGAGUAUACAGGAACUAUUUAAAAAUGGAAAAAAUGUAAUAUUUUCUUUGUAUUUUGGAACAGCUUUUAGAAAAGUAUAUUACACUAAAACCAAACAACCUUGAAAAUGCUUUGGAAUUUUACUGGGAAGAAAUAUAAUUUUGGGGGCUUUUAUCCAGCUUAAAAUAAAGUCAAACCUCAAAAUGUGAAACACUUUUCUGAACUAGAAUUUCCAUUCUUCAUAUGGCCAUCGUUGUAUUGUCCAUGCCCUACUUAGGUUGGAAGAACAGGAUGUGAAGGCAGUUGCAAGUUAAGUUUUUGUUAGCGGUCAGAUUCAAGGAGAGUUUAUUCUUCCAUACAUUCAAAUUUUCUAAUCCUCUUCUUUUAUUAUUU